GUUUUCAGAAAACCCAACCCCGUCCUCAAGCCAGCGACCGCCGAUUUGUCUGUUUCGGCUACCGUUGAGGUGUUUCGACAUCAGCAAAUGAACUGUCAGCCUUCCGCAACCUAACCCCAUUCGUUUGCUCAUCAAAAUCAGCCACCGUUUGGCCUGUUUCAAGAUUAGUAGUCAUUCAAAACCCCUCACCGCUCCUUUGUCUCCGCUCGUCUGUGAACGACACCGACCACCCCCGACGAAGCACCAUCGAAGCUCGAUCAAAACACACCCACCAGAUCAUCGGAAGCGGUCAUCGUUCUCCGUAGGGAGCCCCCGAUAGCUUCAAUGGAAAAAUGAUAUAACCCCAACGUUUUUCAUGAUUCUGGCCACCACGAUCGUCGAUUCAUCAAACCGCCUCCCUCAUUGAGUUCCCGGUGUUCUUCCGACCAAAACCUGGUCAGGCUCGUCGCUCACCGUCGUGGCAAUAUCCGUUUGCCAUUAAGGGGAGUAAUCGGCCAAUCGAAACAGCCCUCGCAAUCACCGCAUGCGCCACCACGCGCCGGCAGUUCGUGUGGGGCUCUUCAACGGUCCAGGAAACUUCUGGAACCGGUCCAAUUAGCUUGAAUAGGCCCGAACUGGGUCUGUUUAACCCAACCGAAUCAACUUGGUCCGAGUUAACCCGUUUAAGUUAACUCGUCUGAGUCAACCAGUCUGAGUCAACCCGUUUACUUUGACCAAAAAGU